rnacentral:rRNA from 1 species
GACGGAGGAUGCAAGUGUUAUCCGGAAUCACUGGGCGUAAAGCGUCUGUAGGUGGUUUAAUAAGUCAACUGUUAAAUCUUGAGGCUCAACCUCAAAAUCGCAGUCGAAACUAUUAGGCUAGAGUGUAGUAGGGGUAAAGGGAAUUUCCAGUGGAGCGGUGAAAUGCGUAGAGAUUGGAAAGAACACCGAUGGCGAAGGCACUUUACUGGGCUAUUACUAACACUCAGAGACGAAAGCUAGGGUAGCAAAUGGG